rnacentral:rRNA from 1 species
GUCCACGCCCUAAACGAUGUCAACUAGUUGUUCGGAGAGGUAACUUUCUGAGUAACGCAGCUAACGCGUGAAGUUGACCGCCUGGGGAGUACGGCCGCAAGGUUAAACUCAAAGGAAUUGACGGGACCCGCACAAGCGGUGGAUGAUGUGGAUUAAUUCGAUGCAACGCGAAAACCUUACCUACCCUUGACAUGCCUGGAAUCCUGCAGAGAUGCGGGAGUGCCUUCGGGAGCCAGGACACAGGUGCUGCAUGGCUGUCGU